AGAUAAGCUAUAUCAAUGCGUCUAAUGGAUGCCUACAGUAUCAAGUAAGUUGGACGGUAGUAGACCGAUAUCUAAAAAUUUAUUAAUUAUUAUUUUUAGGAUUCCACUAAGUCAUUUAAAUUUAAUUUACCUAGUGAACUGAAACAUCUAAGUAACUAGAGGAAAAGAAAUCAACAGAGACUCCGUUAGUAGUGGCGAGCGAACGUGGACUAAGGCCUCAUAUAAUCUCAUUGCGUCUCUUUAGAAAUACUUGAAAUGGUGUACCGAAGAAAGUGAUAGUCUUGUAUAAAGAGAACGAAUUUAUAUGGUUGAGUAGAGCGAGGCACGUGUAACCUUGUUUGAAUAUGGGAGGACCAUCUUCCAAGCCUAAGUAUGACUUGAUAACUGAUAGUGUAUUAGUAGCGUGAGCGAAAGGUGAAAAGUAACCUUUUUAAGGAAGUUGAAAAGUACCUGAAAUUGGACGCAGUCAAGCAAUUGGAGCAUGUUUAUAUGUGACAAUGUACCUUUUGCAUAAUGGGCCAGUAACUUUAUUUAUGUAGCAUGCUUAAGUCGGGUGAGACGUAGGCGUAGCGAAAGCAAAUCUUAAUAGGGUGUUGUUGUUACAUGGAUAAGACCCGAAACCGAGUGAUCUAACCAUGGGCAGGUUGAAGAUGCGGUAACACGCAUUGGAGGACCGAACUCACGUCUGUUGCAAAAGGCGGAGAUGACCUGUGGUUAGGGGUGAAAGGCCAAUCAAACUCGGAGAUAGCUGGUUUUCCGCGAAAUCUAUUUAAGUAGAGCGUGCAGAAAAAAACUAUAUCAGGGGUAGAGCACUAGAUAGAUUAGGGAGGCCCAAAGCCUUACCGACUUUAACUAAACUCCGAAUACUGAAUAGUUGUGUGCACAGACAGACUAUGGGUGCUAAGAUCCAUAGUCAAGAGGGAAACAGCCCAGAACACAAGCUAAGGUCCCUAAAUAAUUUUUUAGUGAGGAAGGUAGUAAAAGAGUAAAGACAGCCAGGAGGUAGGCUUGGAAGCAGCCAUCCUUUAAAGAAAGCGUAUUAGCUCACUGGUCUAACUAUUUUGCGCCGAAAAUGUAUCGGGACUAAAUAAUUUACCGAAGCUGUGUACUCAAUAAAGUUUUGAUUGAGUGGUAGCGGAACGUUCUGUAUGUCAUAGAAGCUCACUUGUGAAAGUGGGUGGAGAUAUCAGAAGUGAGAAUGCUGGCAUGAGUAACAUAAAGUAGUGUGUGAAUCACUACCGCCGUAAAUCCAAGGUUUUUAUAGCCAUUAGAAUAAGCUAUAAGUUAGUCGGUCCCUAAGAUGAAGGUGAAAGCCGUAGUCGAUGGGUAUAAAGAGCUAUUGGUGACGAAUCGUAGAAUAGGUAUACUUUAGCGAACGGAGGUAUGCAAUAUUUGGUGGUUCCAGGAAAGAGCUAUAGUCAUUAAACACCGUACUAUAAACCAACACAGGUGGAUGGGUAGAAUAUACUAAGGCGUUUGAGAUAACUAUGUUGAAGGAACUCGGCAAAUUGGCUCUGUAACUUCGGGAUAAAGAGUGCCAUUGUAUGAGUAAAGACGUAUUAAUGGUGGUUUCUAAAGAGGGGGUGGCGACUGUUUAAUAAAAACACAGGACUCUGCGAAGUCGAUAGACUAUGUAUAGGGUCUGACACCUGCCCGGUGCUGAAAGGUUAAAAUGAGGGGUGAGAGCUCUGAGUGUAAGCCUCAGUAAACGGCGGCUGUAACUAUAACGGUCCUAAGGUAGCGAAAUUCCUUGUCGGGUAAUUUCCGACCUGCAUGAAUGGUGUAACGACUGCCCCACUGUCUCCAACAUAGGCUCAGUGAAAUUGAAUUCUCCGUGAAGAUGCGGAGUACUAGCAGCAAGACGGAAAGACCCCGUGCACCUUUACUACAGCUAUACAUUGUGAUGAGGUUUACGAUGUGCAGGAUAAGUGGGAGCUUAUGAUUUACCUGUUUGACAGGUACUAGGCGUCCUUGAGAUACCACUCUUUGUAUAUUUCAUCGCUUACUUAGGUAUCCUAAUGUUUAUCAAGGACAUUGUAUAGUGGGUAGUUUGACUGGGGCGGUCGCCUCCUAAAGAGUAACGGAGGCGCGCGAAGGUAGGCUCAGACUGUAAGGAAAACAGUUGUAGAGUGUAAUGGCAUAAGUCUGCCUGACUGCAAGACAAACAAGUCGAGCAGAGACGGAAGUCGGUCAUAGUGAUCCGGUGGUCCUGCAUGGAAAGGCCAUCGCUCAACGGAUAAAAGGUACGCCGGGGAUAACAGGCUGAUCCCUCCCCAGAGUUCAUAUCUACGGAGGGGUUUGGCACCUCGAUGUCGGCUCAUCACAUCCUGGAGCUGAAGAAGGUUCCAAGGGUUCGGCUGUUCGCCGAUGAAAGUGGUACGUGAGCUGGGUUUAGAACGUCGUGAGACAGUUCGGUCCCUAUCUACUGCUAGCGUUGAAAAUUGAGAGGUCCCGACCCUAGUACGAGAGGACCGGGUAGGACAUACCAAUGGUGUACCAGUUGUUUGGUUCAAAGCAACGCUGGGUAGCUAAGUAUGGAAAAGAUAACCGCUGAAAGCAUCUAAGUGGGAAGCUUGCCUCAAGAUAAGUUUUUAUAUUGGUGAUAGAACAUCACUUCGAUAGGCUGAGUGUUUUAUUAGAGUAAUCUAAGAGCUGAUCAGUACUAAAAAUAAUACUUAGCUUACUUAUAUUAUU
rnacentral:rRNA from 1 species